GUAAUUGUUCUUUUCCCAAAGGGUCCCAAAUCAAUAGCCCUAACUUCUUCUAUCUCUCUAUCUCGUCUGUUUGCCUCCCGACCUUCCCUUCAUCUUCUUCCGUCUCUCUCUCGGUCUUCAUCGGCGAAGGCGAAACAGUCCGACGGCGGCAGCUACGGCGGUGGAGGUGAGCCAGGCGGCGACGAUAGCGGCGAGGCAGUCGGGCGGCGACCUCGCGACCAGCAGCCCUCCAGCGACCUUGUUCCCCUGUUUCGGCGUCCGACAGCUUCUCGACGUCACUGAGCAGCAGCGGGCAUUAGGUUGGCGUCUCCUCUCUAGCUUGGUCUCGAACGGCAGCAAGAAGGCCAUGGCGGUUGGGGUGGUGGUGGUAGCCGGCAGUGGUGGUGGUUGGCGGUGGCAAUGGUGUAUUGAGGAAGAUGGUGGACGGUGAUGGUAGCCGGAGCAGUAAUGGACGGAAGUAGAGGAUUAAAGAUGGGCUAAUGAUGAUUAACAGUGGAGUUAAGGAGUUAAGGAGGUUCCCUAUCAUUGUGGGCUAGCUUACGAGUUGAACCUAUGAUUUGGCGAUGCUUUUGAGAGCUUAGCUUUGAGGACCUGGACUUGUGGCUAGUUGAGAGCACGGCGUAGAACUUGUGCCCGGGAAUUGAUUAUGGUAUAGAUGUAUAAAUUAGAAUUUGAUCUGUUGAUGUUAUAGUUAGUUCUGAAUGGUCCAAUGACCGGUGUAUGUGGGUUUCGAUAGAACCUUAUAGCCCGUGCGUUUGAGCUUAGUUGUAGCCAAACGUGGCAUAACACCCCUUUUGUUUAAAGUUUUGGUUUCGCUUCCGCAUUUAUAUUCAGUCUUUUAGUAUCAAAAUAUUUUAUUUUGAUUUAA